UAGAAAAAGUACUCUGAUAUUUCCGUGCCUUUAACAAGAAACAGGAUGUAUUAUAUAAUGAGAACAAAUCGUUUACAAAACCCCUGCUGAAAUCCAUGAUCGUCUGCUUUCAUUCUCUUGAUUCUCUAUUCGUUCCUUUAAUUAUUAAAAUAUUAGAGGAAAGCCUAUCCACAGCAAGGAAGGUGGACUUUUGUAAUUGGAUGUUAUAAUGCUGACCAAAGUGGACAUAAAGAAGUGAAAAUAUUCCCCACUUGGGAACAGAAAAUACGUGGUUAUGAAAACUUCAAGAAAACUGGGUUAUUUAUAAGUGAGAGCUGGAAAUGGGUUCCAAGGUUACUUUUCUCCCUCAAAGAACAGAAAAUCAGACAUGGAAUAGCAUAACCCCAAAGAUCUUCAGACAAGACCGUCAUACCAGUGCUCCUGACAGGUAAAUCCGCCCCUCACCAAGUUCAUUUGGAGAAAAAAAACAAAAACAGCAGUUCUUCAUUAAACUAUGACUAUGUGCUGGGAGACGUUGAGGCUUUCUUUCCUUUUGUCCUUAUUACAACAUAGUAGAAACUUUCCUGUGCUUAUAACUCCUGCAUUCAUUCUGCAACUAUUUCCGGAAUGCCUAUGAACUAACAGACAGUAAGCCAAGUGACAUACACGCACCCAGCAACAGGCAAAAGACAUGGCACCUAUACAGAUGAUUUCUUGCUUUUUUUUGCACAGCGAUUAGAAAAUACAUAUGUGAGGAUGUGGAAAAUAGGUUCUGUGUUCCAAAGCAUGGUGAGAGCACCAAAACAGGUUUCGCAAAGAAAGAGAGAAAAGGCUGGAAUUUGGAGAGGGUGUUUCUUUUGAGUUGGGCUGUGUGUUUCCUGUGGACACCUCCUCAUUCGGGGAAGGGUGGGGGUGCUUUUCACUCCCCUCAAACCAAGUGGGAAGUGCUCCAAAGGGAACAUCAAUGGCUUGAGUUGUGCCAUCGGAGCUUGGGGUCACAGUGCAUGGGGGCUAACUCUGGCUCAAGAAAAGUUAAAGGCGAGAACCUGAUGACAAAGUUCGGGGUGGUGGCAUGGGGUGGCCUGUUCUCAGGGCCGGACUCGUCUCCUGGGGCACAUUUUAGGGAACACCAAAAAGCUCAGGAAUCAAGGUAAAUAAUAUGCUAAAUGCAAUAUUAUUAAAAAUCACAACUAAUGGGAAAAAAUCAGGAUGAACAAACUAACAACAUUUUCAAUAAAACUAGUAUCAGUGGGGCUGGGGUGAGGGUAGAGGCAGCAAAGUGAGCCGUGGAAAUGGGUCUGCAUGGAAAACUCUCAAACCCAAGGCACGCACCUCCUUCUCUCAUCUAGUCUGGGCCUAGCUUGCGCGCCUGGAGCCCAUCAUGGCAAAGGGAGCACGUGGGUUUCCACUGACCAGAUGCAGAGCGUAUGAGAGCUGGAACGGGGCCAGGCCGGAAAGGGCGGGGGAAUCUUAGGAGGACGAUGCUGGAGCCGACUGUCUGCCCCAGAGCUAAGGGGGGAGCCCUCAGCCAGCAGCCGGAGGAGAGGCCUGGCCCGCCCCAGGGAACCUGCAGGAAAUAGAGACAAGCAAACAGAAGAAAGUGAAGCUGCCUGUAAUUCCACCACUCAGAGAUAAACUUCUAGGUGGGAAGUCCUAAAAAUCUUUGGGACUUCUCCCUCUGGGCUGGCUUUUGCCCUCCAGCAUGACCCGACUCAUUUAUACUUCCGCCCACCUGAAUGCCCACCUCUUCUGCCUGUUUCUUCACGCCCUGAUGGACCCUGGGCAUCAGCUCUCUUUUGGAUGGUGCCUUUGUAUUAAAAUCUUUGUAGGGGAAACUUGAAAUGUUUUUGGAAACACCCAGACUGCCCCAAAUUACAGAACUGGCUGCAGCCUUCAUGCUGUGAGCAGAUGUCUUUGGCCGCUUGGGAGGGGUGCCACUUCUCUGCUGUGCUCCACUAUUAACUAAUUUUUAAAAGGGAAGUGGUCCUGCAGACUUAUGGGCACCCGUAUUAUGAAGGGUGUUCCUGCCUCUAGGGAUUUCCUCUCUCAGUCAUGGUGGACCAGAAAUCCUCAACUGGGAAGGAUAGUAAAGUCUCACUGUCUGAGGUUGAGUGAGCUUAUGAGAUUUAAAUUGAAGGGAGCUGAGUUAGAGCUGAUAAAUACUGACUGCCUUCUUAGGGUCAGGCGUCCCAUGAAGUGAUCCCUUGGGCCGGCCAUCCGUUCCCUCACAAAUGCAGCCAACCUUUAUGGAAUGUGUAUGAGGCACGCACUGUUCCACUGAUGAGAGUUCACGAGUUCUGAUGGUCACUCCCCUGCCUAUGCUGCUUGGACGGCUUCCUGGUACCCUUAGCCACGAAGCCCCAGCUUUGUCUAAACCUUCCAGGUCCAGUGUGUUCUGUUCCUGCCAGUGUUUCCAGCCUUAUGGCAUCACAUCCUCACCAGCCCCACAUGAGCACCACCCUCUGGGGGCUGGAGUCCUUGGCACAUGCUGUUCCCUCUACCCAAGACAGUUAGCAGUGAAAUCCCGCUCAUCCUUCCAGGCUGGUCUUAAUGUUCCUUCUUUGGAAAGGGCUUCCUUAACUCCCAGACCUCCCCAGACUAAACUGGUUCUCCCCAUCUUUUUGCUCAAUACCUCUU